rnacentral:rRNA from 1 species
AGUGAACGCUGGCGGUAGGCCUAACACAUGCAAGUCGAACGGCAGCACAGGAGAGCUUGCUCUCUGGGUGGCGAGUGGCGGACGGGUGAGGAAUACAUCGGAAUCUACUUUGUCGUGGGGGAUAACGUAGGGAAACUUACGCUAAUACCGCAUACGACCUACGGGUGAAAGCAGGGGAUCUUCGGACCUUGCGCGAUUGAAUGAGCCGAUGUCGGAUUAGCUAGUUGGCGGGGUAAAGGCCCACCAAGGAGACGAUCCGUAGCUGGUCUGAGAGGAUGAUCAGCCACACUGGAACUGAGACACGGUCCAGACUCCUACGGGAGGCAGCAGUGGGGAAUAUUGGACAAUGGGCGCAAGCCUGAUCCAGCCAUACCGCGUGGGUGAAGAAGGCCUUCGGGUUGUAAAGCCCUUUUGUUGGGAAAGAAAUCCAGCUGGUUAAUACCCGGUUGGGAUGACGGUACCCAAAGAAUAAGCACCGGCUAACUUCGUGCCAGCCGCCGCAGUAA